GACAGAGGGUGCAAACGUUGUUCGGAAUUACUGGGCGUAAAGCGUGUGUAGGCGGCCACGUAAGUCGGAUGUGAAAGCCCCAGGCUCAACCUGGGAAGUGCACUCGAUACUGCGUGGCUUGAGUAUCGGAGAGGUUGGUGGAAUUCUCGGUGUAGAGGUGAAAUUCGUAGAUAUCGAGAGGAACACCGGUGGCGAAGGCGGCACAUGGCCGAAUACUGACGCUGAGGCACGAAAGCGUGGGGAGCAAACAGG
rnacentral:rRNA from 1 species